AGCGAACGCUGGCGGCAGGCUUAACACAUGCAAGUCGAGCGGGCACUUCGGUGUCAGCGGCAGACGGGUGAGUAACACGUGGGAACGUACCCUUUGGUUCGGAAUAACGCUGGGAAACUAGCGCUAAUACCGGAUACGCCCUUUUGGGGAAAGGCUUGCUGCCGAAGGAUCGGCCCGCGUCUGAUUAGCUAGUUGGUGGGGUAAUGGCCUACCAAGGCGACGAUCAGUAGCUGGUCUGAGAGGAUGAUCAGCCACACUGGGACUGAGACACGGCCCAGACUCGUACGGGAGGGAGCAGUGGGGAAUAUUGGACAAGGGGCGCAAGCCUGAUCCAGCCAUGCCGCGUGAGUGAUGAAGGCCUUAGGGUUGUAAAGCUCUUUUGUCCGGGACGAUAAUGACGGUACCGGAAGAAUAAGCCCCGGCUAACUUCGUG
rnacentral:rRNA from 1 species